AGCAAGCGGUUCUCCUGAUCGGAUGAACAAGUGAUUAAUAGAGUUUUAGUUUUUAGAGAGAAAGAGUUUUAGAGACAAGUGUUCAUUUAAGUGAAGUAAAAAGUGAAAAGUACAGCAAAAAGACACAAAUUGAUUUCAACAUAUUGUACCCUGAGAAAAAAGCAAGGAAAAGGUUUUUUGGUUUUAUGAAGAGCAAAUACAAAACAAAGAGUGUCAUAAACUAUUAAAGACAGCUCAACUGUAUCAAUCGAUUCCAAGGACUACAUUUACUCUGUAUUGUCUGUACUGUCGGCCGUCAUUAAGGGAACCAACAAGCGAAAGAAUUUCUCACUACUGGACUCGCAGGAAAGUUUUGAACGCACAUGCAGGCGUACGAAUGUUGCAAACUUUACUAGCUGCCCUAUGCAUAUGUAUUAUAUAAAUUCUAAGAGUUACGUUAAGUACAAAUGUAUUUAAAACAAAAAUAAUGAUAACGUGUUAGCAUGGUAAAAAAAAAUAAUGUUAGCAGAACAAUUGUUUGGAUGAUAUGUUUAAGUUUAUUUUCAAUAAAAACACAUGGCUUGU